rnacentral:rRNA from 1 species
UAGGGAAUCUUCGGCAAUGGACGAAAGUCUGACCGAGCAACGCCGCUUGAGUGAAGAAGGUUUUCGGAUCGUAAAACUCUGUUGUUAGAGAAGAACAAGGACGUUAGUAACUGAACGUCCCCUGACGGUAUCUAACCAGAAAGCCACGGCUAACUACGUGCCAGCAGCCGCGGUAAUACGUAGGUGGCAAGCGUUGUCCGGAUUUAUUGGGCGUAAAGCGAGCGCAGGCGGUUUCUUAAGUCUGAUGUGAAAGCCCCCGGCUCAACCGGGGAGGGUCAUUGGAAACUGGGAGACUUGAGUGCAGAAGAGGAGAGUGGAAUUCCAUGUGUAGCGGUGAAAUGCGUAGAUAUAUGGAGGAACACCAGUGGCGAAGGCGGCUCUCUGGUCUGUAACUGACGCUGAGGCUCGAAAGCGUGGGGAGCAAACAAG